ensembl:lncRNA
AUAGUUGUAUCAAAACAAUGUAAAUUGUGAUUGACUCAAUGACUCAUCAAAUCAUAACCUGAUAGACCUACCAUGUAUCAAGACCACAUAUCUUGUACUGUGAAGGAGAACCUUCACAUUUGGCUCACCCACAUUUGUGGUAAUGUGUUUCAUUACUAUUACACAGGCAUAAAGAAAAAACUGGUAGCACUCGCCAACAAAAAGGAAAAUCAGGUCCUGCAGGGCUGGAUUCGGGCGAUCCUCAAUCACUUUUGGUUCUCAUGCUCAUCUUGUGGAACUGAAGCGACGGUGGACCUCAGUCCUCCACCACAUCUGUGGGGAGCACACAUGGGAGCAAGAUGGAAGAAAGUGGGCAUGCCCUCACCCUGCUCUCAACCCAGAUCAGCAAAGGACAAAGCGAUGGCUCCAGCCAGAGUCUCAAGUGUUCAAGUCUUUACGGAAUAUUGUUGAAGAU